CCUGCGCGCCGAACGGACCAACGGCUGGCGUUAGCGGCGCGGGGCGGGGCGUUAGCGGCUCCCUCGCGAGCUCCGCGCGCCCCACCCGCCGUUGGCCGCUGGGAGGUCGCGCGCUCGGGGCCGGAAGGGGGCGGGGCUCGCGCGUGCGCUGUGGCGGGUGGGGCGGCGGCGGAGGAAAGUUUGGAGGUGCGGAUCCCGGAGGAAUAUUGUCAUUAGGCCGGGAAUAAAGCGGGGUGACCAAACCCACGGCAGAGCUGGCAUCUCCCCAUGGCAAAAUGUGACGUCUUUGUUCAGCCUCCACCCUGCCCUGGCUUUAAACUGAGGUAAAUAAGGCACAGAAAAUGUGUUUUGUCAAAGUGACACACAGCAAGCACUAGUAGGUGUAGCCAUCUCAGGAUAAAAGGAACAGAAGCCACUCACUUGAUGAACCUGAAAGCUUUCUUAGAAUUACAAAAGGAAUAAAUGAUCUUAAUCAUAUUAACUCCUGGGUGGU
rnacentral:lncRNA from 1 species